rnacentral:rRNA from 1 species
CGCACGGGUGAGUAAUAUAUAGGUAACCUGCCCUUUGGUUUGGGAUAACUCGUCGAAAGGCGAGCUAAUACUGAAUGAUGCAGCGGCUCCACAUGGAGAUGUUGUUAAAGCCUUCGGGCGCCAAGGGAUGGGCCUGUAUCCCAUUAGAUAGUUGGUGAGGUAACGGCUCACCAAGUCAAUGAUGGGUAGCUGAUCUGAGAGGAUGAUCAGCCACACUGGAACUGAGACACGGUCCAGACUCCUACGGGAGGCAGCAGUGAGGAAUAUUGCGCAAUGGAUGAAAGUCUGACGCAGCGACGCCGCGUGGAGGAUGAAGGCCCUUUGGGUCGUAAACUCCUGUAGAGUGGGAAGAAUAUCCCUUUUGAAGGGUUUGACGGUACCACUAAAGUAAGGAUCGGCUAACUACGUGCCAGCAGCCGCGGUAAUACGUAGGAUCCGAGCGUUGUCCGGAAUUACUGGGUGUAAAGGGAGCGCAGGCGGGUCUAUAAGUCGACGGUGAAAUCUUCCAGCUCAACUGGAAAACUGCCGCCGAUACUGUAGAUCUUGAAUAUGUCAGAGGGAAACGGAAUUCAUGGUGUAGCGGUGAAAUGCGUAGAUAUCAUGAAGAACACCAGUCGCGAAGGCGGUUUCCUGGGACAUUAUUGACGCUCAUGCUCGAAAGUGUGGGGAGCAAACAGGAUUAGAUACCCUGGUAGUCCACACCUUAAACGAUGAAUACUAGGUGUCGGGUCGCAAGACUCGGUGCCAAAGCUAACGCAUUAAGUA